ensembl:lncRNA
CUUCCCUCUGAUGGCGGUCAAGUACGUGUCGGAGCGCAUGGAAAAAGUAUCUUGGCCCCGAACUCUGACCACAAAGGGAAUAACGUCUGUCAAGUUAUUUGUGUCUGAAAAUCCCGAUUGGUUUUUUUGAACUACUAGAAGGAUUCUGGAGAACCACUGACGGCGAGAACAGCCCAAAUGAGAUCCUGGAUGAUCGUGAAAUGGUGUGGCCAGCCAUGCGAUCGGAUUGUGGGAUUUGCCUGAGAAACUGAUUCAAGCAACCCUGGAUUACAGAUAAGCCCUAUGCACUACUUUUCCUACCCGGAUAAUAGGGUUUGCACACUGACAAUUCCCCUACAGUACACCUGUUUGGGUUUUCAACGACUUUAAAGGACAAUUCAGACUGGACAAUUCAAACUUCACAACAGGAACACUUUAAUCUGUUUCAUUCAUUCCCAAGAGCUCUGAUACUGUUCAGUAUAAAUCUUCCAUUUAAAUGUCUUUAUUUUGUUUUGUUUUACAUGUAUUCACCUUUAAAAUGCACUAUUAGUGUGCAAUUUGGGUUAUUGUGUUGUAUAUGUAUAUAAAUGGUACUGAGGCAAUAAAGGUCCCAGUUAUUCACUUCCAAGCCAACUCCUUUUGUGAGUCCCCAAAACAAAACCUCCUCCU